CAGUCAGUAACAUCAGAUGAUUGCUGAGGCUGUGAGAGCCUUUUUUUUUUUUUUUCUUUUUGAGACAGGGUCUCACUAUGCAGUUCAGGCUGGCCUUGAGCUCACUUUGUAGCCCAGGCUGACCUCGAACUCCCAGCGAUCCUCCUGCCUCAGCCUCUUGAGUGCUGGGAUUACAGGCGUGUGCCACCAUGCCCAGCUCAGAACUUCUAUUUUUAAGGGUCCCUGUGGCAUGGACAAGUUCACUGUGAAUGGCCAAGUGACCUAAUAAGAGAUAUGGAUGAAAGCUUCUGGAUAACUGCGAAGCUGGGGAUUUAUCAGGCUCCGGGGAACAACAGGGAAAUUCCUGGAACUUCAGCCUCCGCCCUCACCUCUGUCGCCUGGAAAUGCCUGCGUUUUGGCUCAGGGACCUCCGGCUGGCCGGGGCGCCUCGCUGCCGCUGUCGCCUCCCACAGCCUCAAGCACCCACCUUGCCCGCCUCAUUUCCGCGGCCAGGGCUGCUGCGCGGGGGCUCAGGAGCGACCGCAGCUGUUUCUUCGGAUUUGGGUUAGGAGCUACCCUGGGAGGCGGUGGCCUUCCCAGUCCUGUGUUCUCACCGAGCUCUGCCUCCCUCUCCCCUCCAGCCGGUAACUGCUCCCCUGACCAUCACUAGCCAGCUCCUUAGGAGGAUGGAUCUCAGCUCCAUGGCCUCUAAUUCCUUCUCAGCCUGGAGCUGCCUGGCCAGGGAGCACCCAUAUUCCCAGCCCUAGGUCACAGUGCUGUGGGGCAGUCACAGGGUAUCUGCUGGAGCCCUCCAUUUUGCUGAGCGGUAAGUGAAAGUACCACUUAAAAGAUCUUAAUUUUUUAUGACAAAUACCUUAAUUCACAACAAAUGUGGGAGGUGUCCUUUUUUUUUUUUUUUUUUUUUUUUUUUUUUUUUUUGUGGUACUGGGGAUCGAACUCAUGACUUUGUGCUUUGAAAAAUUUUGAGUGAAAAAUUGGAUGUAACUGUCUAC
rnacentral:lncRNA from 1 species